UACGUAGGGUGCAAGCGUUAAUCGGAAUUACUGGGCGUAAAGCGUGCGCAGGCGGUUUUGUAAAUCUGACGUGAAAGCCCCGGGCUUAACCUGGGAAUUGCGUUGGAGACUGCAAGGCUUGAAUCUGGCAGAGGGGGGUAGAAUUCCACGUGUAGCAGUGAAAUGCGUAGAGAUGUGGAGGAACACCGAUGGCGAAGGCAGCCCCCUGGGUCAAGAUUGACGCUCAUGCACGAAAGCGUGGGGAGCAAACAGG
rnacentral:rRNA from 1 species